rnacentral:misc_RNA from 1 species
GAUGAAGAACGCAGCGAAAUGCGAUAAGUAGUGUGAAUUGCAGAAUUCCGUGAAUCAUCGAAUCUUUGAACGCACAUUGCGCCUUCUGGUAUUCCGGAAGGCAUGCCUGUUCGAGAGUCAUUAACAACCGUUUCGAUCCCUUUCUUUCAGAAAUUACAAAGAGGAAAAGGGUUUGGUUAUGGUGGAGGAGGGAAAGGGAGCGUUUAGCCUGUAAAAAAAGAGGCUGUGUUCCGCCUCCCCCCCAAAAUUGUACAGGCGGUCGUGUGCGCCCACGCAUCGAGGUGUUGUAAAAGCUGCCACGGCACUUUUCACCUGUGCAGUGCGAGAUUGGCCAGCCGGUUUAAAACCCCCUCCAAACAAUCAAAGGUUGACCUCGGAUCAGGUAGGGAUACCCGCUGAACUUAAGCAUAUCAAUAACGAGGA